rnacentral:rRNA from 1 species
CAGCAGCCGCGGGAAUACGUAGGUGGCAAGCGUUGUCCGGAAUUAUCGGGCGUAAAGGGCUCGCAGGCGGUUUCUUAAGUCUGAUGUGAAAGCCCCCGGCUCAGCCGGGGAGGGUCAUUGGAAACUGGGAAACUUGAGUGCAGAAGAGGAGAGUGGAAUUCCACGUGUAGCGGUGAAAUGCGUAGAGAUGUGGAAGAACACCAGUGGCGAAGGCGACUCUCUGGUCUGUGACUGACGCUGAGGAGCGAAAGCGUGGGGAGCGAACAGGAUUAGAGACCCCUGUAGUCCCUGUCUCUUAUAC